rnacentral:rRNA from 1 species
AUUGAACGCUGGCGGCAUGCUUUACACAUGCAAGUCGAACGGUAACAGGCCGUCUGGUGCUGACGAGUGGCGGACGGGUGGGUAAUGCAUCGGAACGUGCCCAGAGGUGGGGGAUAGCGCAGCGAAAGCUGUCCUAAUACCACAUGUGAUCGGAGGAUGAAAGCGGGGGACGGGGCAGCAAUGUUUGGCCUGGCGCCUUUGGAGCGGCCGCUGUCGGUUUAGGUGGUUGGUGGGGUAAAGGCCAACGAAGCCGACGAUAGGUAGCUGGUGUGGGUGGCCGGCCAGCCACACUGGAACGGGGACACGGCCCAGAGUCCUACGGGAGGCCGCAGUGGGGAACGGUGGACAACGGGGGCAAGUCUGAUCCAGCAGUGCCGCGUGCGGGAAGACGGCCUUCGGGUUGUAAAGCCGUUUUGUACGGAACGAACAGGCUCUGGCUAAUACCUGGGGCUGAUGACGGUAACGGAAGAAUAAGCACCGGCUAACUACGUG